CAUACUUCAAAGAGGGAAUGUGAAAAGCAGCUGCACUAGAUCCUCUGACCUUGUCCACAGAGCCAUCAGUAAAAAUUUGAAGAUGACGUGCAUAUUCAGUCUCAAGAUGUUCCAGUACGAGCUAACGCGUUGCCGCCAAAGGAGAACUCCGCUUAGCGCGAACGGGAGGAAUUGUCAACGAACAAUCGAGGCUCGCGAAUGACCAAGGUGGUUUCAACCUCUUAGUUCGACCUCUAGCGUCAAGACGCAGGUAACCAAGAGUAUUAAUCCACGAAACACAGAACCUCUUAAAAACUUAUUGAAACGGCUACAAACGGCUAUAGACGUCUUGGUGUAUGAUAAGACUGAAAAUAGAAUUUCUUCUAAACAUAACCUCAGCGCUUGGAAUAGGCUAGUAUAUAUUCUAUCUGCGGCAAAACCCACUACUGGUGUCACUAGAGUCUAUUUUGGUAAACACAUUCAGAAUGUCUAACUCAAGAACUUUUCUAGAUCUUUUUGUCUAAAAGUGCAUAAAAUGCCAAACGACGUGCUAAAAGUGCGGUUACCGUCGGCCAUCGGCGUUAGCGAAUAAAAGACGCCACAGACAAAUCGAACUCGUUGGAAGAAACAUAAGUUGGCUUUAAUAUUAAAGAUUUUCACAUCAGAACUUCAACACUCAAGGGCGUGUUAUUGUUUUCCAUACGGGGCGCACACACGACGCCUGGAAUCCAUUCUAUGCUCGCGCAGCAGGUACUGACAGCAGCAGGAGUGAAACGCCGGUGUUGCACAGCGGUGUGACAGAGCCACCGCGCUGCGAUCACUUCGGCGGCACGCUCCAAAUUGGGGACACGCUCCAAAUUUGUCAGACAUCUCAUUCCAUGCUGGAAACACUGGGAGGCAGGAAGUUUGAAAAAAUGGCCACUGCCUCCCGGAAUGUCUCAGUCGCGGGUUCGUUAUGCCAAUUGCGCGUCAUUCUAAGCCGUUUUGUACAUUUAUAGUGGAUAUUAACUGGAGUCAUUUAGCUGUGCUGAUGCUGUUUGCCGUGUGUUUUGCAUCAGUGCUUCGUGACAUCGGCUGUAUUGCGUGUUUUCGCCGACGGCUUACUACGACAAUGGCGGGAUCUGCGUUCGCCGCCUUCGUGUCUCGGUGCGUCUUUGUACAAUGUACGUCGCACGUUUAGAUAACACUUUUUACGGUAAGUGAAAUACAUUGCACUUCGUUUUUCGUCAACAAUGUGAAUAUUUUUAGGUGUUACCUGCGAUGUUUCUUGAUUGAUGGGCUCUUCUGCCAUGCGGGUUUUCGUUAUCUUUUAAGGCUUCUACUUGUGUUCAGCCGUUCAUCACUACCGCGCUCCAUGACUUCCGCAACACCAGUCAGAACAUUGCCCUGCUUGUUAGUCUUUGUAGUUAACGCAGCACGAACCAACCGAAGGGAGUGCAUUCGAAGACGACGCGCUGACUGUAAUGCUGAACCAGACUGAACUCGCCCUAUUUUGUGUCCUUUUGUUCUUGCAUGGGCUACAGCAUUGCGUGUGCGCGCGCGUGUCAGUGACUAUGCAGCUUGUAACGUUCCUACUUUAUAGCAAAACAAAAAUAUAACUGCAAUGUUUACUUCAUCUAUACUAUUCCAAAUGCAAUCAUCUGCUGAUGUACGAAUUUCACUUGUGUUUUGUUCUAAAUAAGCAGCAAAGCUUUUAGACUAGUCGGUGCUUCAUCUGGGAGUACAAUCACAACUGCUUGGCAUUUAUUAAUGAAUGACUGUGACUGGGUCACCUCAUUUGUAAUAGCAAAUCUGUCUUUCAACUGACUUGAUGAUCUCUUUUGUUACUUUCACUCCAUAGACGGCUGGACAUCCUUCUUGUACCUUGGCGCUAGCUGGAUGACGGGACCUCAUCAUGAUCAGUGUAUUGCUUGCCUAUGUCUACAAGAACCGUCACGCGUGGCCUGUAACAGCAAGCUUUUGUGGGCAGCCAGUGCUCUCCUACGAAGGCUGGCCUGCUCUGGCAGCGGCGGCAAUCAUCUUCAAGAGUUAUGCAUGAUCGCAUUUAUUUGUCACUCUUGUUAAUUACACUUUCUGUAUCUUUUCUAAUUUAUUAGGUAAUAAAGUAUGAGUAUGUGA